GAUGAAGAACGUAGCGAAAUGCGAUAAGUAAUGUGAAUUGCAAUUCAGUGAAUCAUCGAAUCUUUGAACGCACAUUGCGCCCGCCAGCAUUCUGGCGGGCAUGCCUGUUCGAGCGUCAUUUCAACCCUCGAGCCCCCCCGGGGGCCUCGGUGUUGGGGGACGGCACACCAGCCGCCCCCGAAAUGCAGUGGCGACCCCGCCGCAGCCUCCCCUGCGUAGUAGCACACACCUCGCACCGGAGCGCGGAGGCGGUCACGCCGUAAAACGCCCAACUUUCUUAGAGUUGACCUCGGAUCAGGUAGGAAUACCCGCUGAACUUAAGCAUAUCAAUAAGCGGAGGA
rnacentral:misc_RNA from 1 species